rnacentral:rRNA from 1 species
GCGAGAAGUCCACUGAACCUUAUCAUUUAGAGGAAGGAGAAGUCGUAACAAGGUUUCCGUAGGUGAACCUGCGGAAGGAUCAUUGUCGAAUCCUGCACAGCAGAAUGACCAGAGAA